AUGCCACCAAAGGCAUUGGACUAUGAGUCACUGAAUGAGAACAUGAAGAAGGUUUUAUAUGCUGUUAGAGGCGAGUUAUAUGUUCGAGCUUCUGAGAUUCAGAAGGAAGGAAAGAAGAAAGUAUCUACAUCCCCCCACAUGACUUAAGUCUCGGAGUUUAGUCAGGAUCUAGAAGAAAGGUUUUUGUACUAUGUAUCUGGAUCACAUUUGGUGCUUCUCUGUGACCUAUUGGCUACUGCAAUUGCAAAGGAGUUGGCGCAAGAGUUGAGUUCUUCAAAUGGGAAAUUGAAAGCAGUUAUCGAUGAGUUAAGAAUUGAAGUGGAAUUUAU